UGCAGCGUGUGUAAAAAACAAGCCUAACUACGUUAUACACGUCGUUGCUCAUUUCAUAUUGUUAAAUUUAUGGUGUCAAUUGAUGGUUCCACUAUUAUGUGGACAGACCCACGUCACAAAUUGGCUUUUGUGAAUUUCUUAAGCAUUUUAUUUCUAUUUUCAUUAUUCACUCUCUCUCUCUCUCUCUCUCUUGUUGUGCUUCUUCUUCAGCUUUUCUCUGUUUGCUCUUUUCUCUUUUUAUGGAAAGUCCAUGAAGAUAUGUACUUGCUCAGUAUCAUUCUGAAUCAACAAAUUAGAAGGAUUUCAACACAGGUACCUUUAAUCUCAUGGUUGCAGGAAAUUAUAUUGUAUUUUGUUUGGCUACUGGCGUUCAGCUCAAAUUCAGGAGCUCAGGUAUGUACUUUUGUGACAUUUAAAACUAAAAAGACGGUGCAUACUUACAUUGGGCCUUGUAGUUUGAAAUUUUAAGGGUUUCUUUUACCAGCUUGCGUGAUAAGAAACUUAUUUUCAGGACUCAAGGUAUAUACUUUUAUUACAUUUAUAACUUAAAACACGGCGCAACACUUAUAUGAGGUCUUGUAGUUUGAGAUUUAAUGGGUCUCUCUUUCCUAGCCUGCGCAAUGAAAAAGCAUGUAUAUCACUUGGUUUAGUAGUUUGUGUUAGCAUUUUCGCUAUGUAGUUUCUCAUUUCAUUAUUAUUAGAACUUGAUUCAGCAAAUAAAACCGAAGAUGUCAAGUGCCCUGAGGAAUGCCCUUGCAUAGGCAUAAGGACCGGUACAUUGAGUGUCUUAGAAAUCUUUUUCCUUUCAUUUUGUUAUACCUUUCCAUUGCAAUCUCAAAUAAAGUUGAUAAGUUGGUCUC